CCUACGGGUGGCUGCAGUGGGGAAUAUUGGUCAAUGGGCGCAAGCCUGACCCAGCAACGCCGCGUGAAGGAAGAAGGCUUUCGGGUUGUAAACUUCUUUUAAGCGGGAAGAGCAGAAGACGGUACCUCUUGAAUAAGCCACGGCUAACUACGUGCCAGCAGCCGCGGUAAUACGUAGGUGGCAAGCGUUGUCCGGAUUUACUGGGUGUAAAGGGCGUGUAGCCGGGCUGACAAGUCAGAUGUGAAAUUCAGGGGCUCAACCCCGGACCUGCAUUUGAAACUGUUGGUCUGGAGUAUCGGAGAGGCAGGCGGAAUUCCUGGUGUAGCGGUGAAAUGCGUAGAUAUUAGGAGGAACACCAGUGGCGAAGGCGGCCUGCUGGACGACAACUGACGGUGAGGCGCGAAAGCGUGGGGAGCGAACAGGAUUAGAUACCCCAGUAGUC
rnacentral:rRNA from 1 species